rnacentral:rRNA from 1 species
GGCCGCCGAGGAGAGGCUUGCGUUGCGUGCUGAGGAGCGGAGGAGGCAGGAGCCGGCGUCGUGUUUGAGUAGGAGUAGGAUAAGCGGAUUGCUCUCUCGCCUGUGGGGAUUUCCGGCGAGAAGGACUCGAGGCGAGCGGAUCGAGAGCGCCCGCCCGCCCGGCCGGCCUCGCCGAUCAGCCGCGAUGAACUGCGAGACGUGCCACCUCAACGAACUGGAGCUGGAGCCGCUGGAGAUCAAAGAUGUGCUGCGAUGCAUCUUGCAUACUAUAUUCUUUCAUCGAACCCUCACUCUUGUUCGGCCCAAGGAUGUUGACUGCGACCUCUUUGAGAUCACAUAUGUUCAAUGUGGACUUGCAGAACUAGAAAAGGAAGUUGAUGAAAAGAUCAACCAGUUCAUUGCUUGGGCUGAAAAGCAUCCAAAUCGGAAAAGCCAGGUGUGCCUCUCGUUCUUCGAUGAGAAGAACAAGCACCCAGGCUGGUUCAGCAGCAAGACUGAGAGGGUUUACUGGGAACAAUGGUUCAUCAAUUUGCAUGUCACAAGCCCUAAAGGGCAAGGCAAAUCACGUGGCUCCAAAGCGCCAGCAAAUACUAAAGGACAAGCAUUGGAAGAGACCAGCUCAAGACGUGAUGCGCUGAGCUUGCUGAUCCAAGAAGUCCUGUUCCAGAUCAUUAACUACGCCAAUGAGAAAAAAGACCAUAUUCCUCCAAUCUCUGACAGAAUAUUCAAUCAUGAGAUUUUGGUCCCCAGGUGACACCUUUUCCUUGGACGUGUGUUCACAGCUCUUCUGAUUCUGUAUUCGGGUGGAACGCCGACGUUCUUCGGAGGGCAUUGAGUAGUGGACAUUCGUACUCACUGAACUGAAGAUCUUUGUUAGAGACUGCACUAAACGAAGAUGUUGGUAUCGGUGUGCUACCUUUCACAGUGAUAAGACGUUGCCCCUUUCUCACCUCUCCGUUGAUCGUUUGGUUAUAAGACGUCGUCAGAGCUGCUGACUCAUGGAAGCAAAUGUUGUGUACAGAAUAAUGUAGAACGCCAGUGAACUGACUCUGUUACCCAUCCAAUCAUGUAAUUCCCACUUGUUUAGCUGUAAAUAUUUCUCUUGACAAUCUGUGUCAAAAAAAUAUUAUGUCAUGCAGAUGUGAAAAGUAGAAAAAAGUCCAUUUUACUACCCUGAAUAAAGUGGGUGGUUCACU